UCCUACGGGAGGCAGCAGUGGGGAAUAUUGCACAAUGGGCGCAAGCCUGAUGCAGCGACGCCGCGUGCGGGAUGACGGCCUUCGGGUUGUAAACCGCUUUUGACUGGGAGCAAGCCCUUCGGGGUGAGUGUACCUUUCGAAUAAGCACCGGCUAACUACGUGCCAGCAGCCGCGGUAAUACGUAGGGUGCAAGCGUUAUCCGGAAUUAUUGGGCGUAAAGGGCUCGUAGGCGGUUCGUCGCGUCCGGUGUGAAAGUCCAUCGCUUAACGGUGGAUCCGCGCCGGGUACGGGCGGGCUUGAGUGCGGUAGGGGAGACUGGAAUUCCCGGUGUAACGGUGGAAUGUGUAGAUAUCGGGAAGAACACCAAUGGCGAAGGCAGGUCUCUGGGCCGUCACUGACGCUGAGGAGCGAAAGCGUGGGGAGCGAACAGGAUUAGAUACCCUGGUAGUCCACGCCGUAAACGGUGGAUGCUGGAUGUGGGGCCCGUUCCACGGGUUCCGUGUCGGAGCUAACGCGUUAAGCAUCCCGCCUGGGGAGUACGGCCGCAAGGCUAAAACUCAAAGAAAUUGACGGGGGCCCGCACAAGCGGCGGAGCAUGCGGAUUAAUUCGAUGCAACGCGAAGAACCUUACCUGGGCUUGACAUGUUCCCGACAGCCGUAGAGAUAUGGCCUCCCUUCGGGGCGGGUUCACAGGUGGUGCAUGGUCGUCGUCAGCUCGUGUCGUGAGAUGUUGGGUUAAGUCCCGCAACGAGCGCAACCCUCGCCCUGUGUUGCCAGCACGUCGUGGUGGGAACUCACGGGGGACCGCCGGGGUCAACUCGGAGGAAGGUGGGGAUGACGUCAGAUCAUCAUGCCCCUUACGUCCAGGGCUUCACGCAUGCUACAAUGGCCGGUACAACGGGAUGCGACACUGUGAGGUGGAGCGGAUCCCUUAAAACCGGUCUCAGUUCGGAUUGGAGUCUGCAACCCGACUCCAUGAAGGCGGAGUCGCUAGUAAUCGCGGAUCAGCAACGCCGCGGUGAAUGCGUUCCCGGGCCUUGUACACACCGCCCGUCAAGUCAUGAAAGUGGGCAGCACCCGAAGCCGGUGGCCUAACCCCUUGUGGGAUGGAGCCGUCUAAGGUGAGGCUCGUGAUUGGGACUAAGUCGUAACAAGGUAGCCGUACCGGAAGGUGCGGCUG
rnacentral:rRNA from 1 species